rnacentral:tRNA from 1 species
UGCGCAGUAGCUCAGUGGCAGAGCAGCCGACUGUUAAUCGGCCGGUCGUUGGUUCGACCCCAACCUGCGCAGCCA